GGGCGAGUGGUGGAAUUGGCAGACACGCCAGCCUUAGGAGCUGGUGCCGCAAGGUGUGAGAGUUCGAGUCUCUCCUCGCCCA
rfam:Parcubacteria (Thrbacteria) bacterium GW2011_GWC2_53_7 TY82_C0010, whole genome shotgun sequence.